rnacentral:lncRNA from 1 species
CAGGUUAAGGAUCCGGUUUUGUCACUGAAGCAGCUUGGGUCACUGCUAUGGCGUGGAUUCCAUCCCUGGCUUGGGAAGUUCUACAUGCCCCAGGUACUAGAAGUCCAAGAUCAUGGUGCCAGCAGAUUCAGCAUCUAGUGAGAACCUCCAGUGAACCCGCUUCCUCUUCUCUCACAUGGCAGGAGAGCUCCAGGAGGGACCAUGCCUCAGAAGUCUCCUGACCGACACCAGGGGCUCAGGACACCAGUGGAGACCGCCCGUACUUACUAUCCCCCACUCCCUGGACUCUACACCCCUCCCUGGGAUGGACAAUAUGAGGGAAUGGAGGCAGCUUUGGCAGACUGGGAUGCCAGAGAACAUCCAUGGUGCCCCUCCCCAAGAACAACUGGGUGACCCUUGGCCUAGGGACAAAGGCCUUGGUUAUCUCGCCGACCACUGCAUGCCCAUCCCUAGCACAGUGCCUUGCAUGUGCAAUCGAGGACAGGUCCAGACCCGCAGAGGACUCUGGUCAGGAACGCAUCUCUUGCCCAAAAGAACAAGUCUGGUGCAGUCUCGUGUGGAGAGGACUCGGGUGAACAGCCAGAGAAGCCGAGUGGAAGAGAAUGUGGAAAAGUGGAGGAGAAUGAGCUCCCCCAUCGCUGAGAGUGAACACAGGCUGCCACAGUGAAAGCACUGAGUCCUCACCACUAGGCCACCAGGGAACUCCCAGGAAUUUUGUGCUUCACGGUGACAGAGAGAUGCUUUCCCCCAUCAUCACAGCAAAGCAAGGGUGUCCACUUCCCUUCUAUUCAAGGUCACACUGGAGCAUCCAGCUGGGAAAGUGAGGCAAGAGAAAGAAAUGAGACACUUAGAUGGGAAAGAAGUCAAACUAUCUCUACUUGCAGAUUAUAUGGUUUUGUAAAAGAAAAUCCUGAGAAGUCUAUGAAAAAACUUUUAGAACCAAUAAACACUGGGCUUUUUAAUCUCCUUUUCAGAAAACAAGCUUGGUAAGAGCUGCCCUUCAGACUUUCCAAUGCCCUUACUUUUCCAGACUUUAUAGAUAGUUCUACAACUUAGAAUGUGUAGGUGUUCUAAAGGGAGGCUGACUGCAGGUCCCUGGGCCUUUGAGCUUGGGAUUUGGACUUGUGCUGCUGAGGGCUUGGUUCUGUGGUCCCACAGCGGGUUCUGAUAGCACAGUCCCCUUUGGGGUCAGUAGUCUAAACCAGGGGGUAGUUGAAUGCUAGGUCCAUGUACUUCAUUACAACCUGUGUUCAGAGAAUUUUCCCUUUUGGAAAAGGGAAAGUCAUGAAGUUCCCUUGCAGCUUGGCAGGUUAAGGAUCCAGUGCUGUCACUGCUGCAGUUUGGGUCACUGCUGUGGUAUGGGUUUGAUACCUGGCGCCAGGAACUUCUGCAUGUUGCGGGCACAGCCAAAAAGAAAAAAAAAGAAAAAGAAUAGGUCAAGUUGUGACUACCAGGAAUAUGAAAUAAGCACAUGCCAGAGAUUUGGUCUGAGAAUCAAAGACACGCCUGCCCUCUAGCUCAGGCACCACCCCACCCUCUACUUCCCCGAAUUUUCCCAACAGAAAUGGUUCAGUGACACAUGUUUAGGCGGUAAAGGAAGCCCGAGUGAAUGUACAGACAAGUGCCAAUCUGUCCACAGGGCAUCAUUCAGCUGCUUUCCACCCUCAGGCUUCAUUUACAUUUCUACAUGGAAGGAUUAUUUGCAUUAGUUGUCUCCUACUUUCACAGUUUCUCGGAGGUUUUUAUAGUCUUUCCACAAGUCUUCCUCACAUUUUGUCAAAAGAGAUGAUACAGGAUAGAUUUGAAGAAAAAUCGUCUCAGUCCAUUUUGGCCAUUUUAGGGCCAUUUUCAACAUAAACAUGGUGUUAAAUUGUGGUUUGGUGUUUGGAUUUUUUCCAUAGUCUGCGGUAAAUAUAACCCCUUUACAGAGAUUCUGCCACAAUUUCCACAAUUUACAUGUUAUAUCAUGUGUGCCCCUGGCCACUGAGUCCUAAGACAUUUUAUUCAGAUGCUUUUACUAUUGCAGAGGUGCGGUAGGGGUGGAGCUUUGCAGCUGUUGAUUUUCAGUAAGAAAUCUCAGGGGUACAGGGUUGGGGGUGCCCGGGUCAGGGCCGGGGAUGUCGACGUGGGCAGGCGAGACUGGCUACUGCAGUUACAAGUGACCCUGAUUCAUCUGUUUCAGCAAUCUUUCCUGCCUUGACUUUUUUUUUUUUUUU